rnacentral:rRNA from 1 species
UGCGUAGGCGGGCUAAUAAGUCAGUGGUGAAAUCUUUCGGCUCAACCGAGAAACUGCCAUUGAUACUGUUAGUCUUGAGUUCGGCUGAGGUAGGCGGAAUGUGUAAUGUAGCGGUGAAAUGCUUAGAUAUUACACAGAACACCAAUUGCGUAGGCAGCUUACUAGACCGACACUGACGCUGAGGCACGAAAGCGUGGGGAGCGAACAGGAUUAGAUACCCUGGUAGUCC